rnacentral:lncRNA from 1 species
GUUUGCUUUGUUUAUGUAUUGUGUAUCUAAAUAAGGAAACCACAGCACGUGUGGUCUGGUGUCGCCUUAGAAGCUUACCCAAGGUUAGUGAUAACAUGGGUUUCCUUUAUGACUAGGGAACAGAGAAGGCUGAAGAAAGUGGACAACACGAGGCACAAAAAGAAGGCAGUGAAGAUGCGGGCAACCUCACCGGAUCCCCAGAGAAGAAUGAAGAAGAGGGAGAGACAGCAACAGAAGAGGUACAGUAGCAUAUUUCACAGUCGUGUUGUGCUUAACAAAAGCAUCUUUUAGGUGAGAGAGUUGCAGCUUUAGCC